rnacentral:lncRNA from 1 species
GUGGAAGGGUGCGUCUGUUGGGAGAAGGCCUUGACCGAACCAUCACAGCCAUUCGGUCAAGGGGUGCCAUGACCGAACCAUUGCAAUGGUUCGGCCCAAGCAGCCGCCCAGCCUCAUCCGUUCAGAGCCACCCGGACCUUAUCCGCCAUGUCAUGGAACCGCCUGUGCCACGUCAGCGUCCGCCCACCCUGCCACGUCACCGAACCGCCGAGCCAUGUUGCCACGUCACCCGAGCCACCGUUUCAUUUGUCAAAACUAAAGGCUCCUCAAUGCUCCUCGCGAC